CGUUAUGGCAAACCUCUAUGAUAUUAGGCAUUUGGUUAUUUUAGUAGUCGUUAUUGUCAUCCUUUUGACUACACGGAACCAUGAUCAGUAUUUUACUAUCGCUGUUCCUCUUCCUGGGUGUUGUGGAAGACUGACGCGUCAACGCUAUCCAAACAUACCACUUUAUAAACCUCACUUUACUACAACACCCCCGCCCCAUCAUCAGCAUCCCUCAAGACAACCCUCCAAGCUGGAAAGCGGAUUUUCUACAAAUAAGACUUUCCCGGGAGGCCCCAAAGGUCCACGGAGAAGGUCCGAGCCACCGAGAAACGGUGGACCCCGAAGACGGCCUCCACCAGUCACGCCACCGC